UCUGGCGGCAGUAGCGCGGUGGUCCCACCUGACCCCAUGCCGAACUCAGAAGUGAAACGCCGUAGCGCCGAUGGUAGUGUGGGGUCUCCCCGUGCGAGAGUAGGGAACUGCCAGAC
rnacentral:rRNA from 3 species